GAUGAAGAACGUAGCGAAAUGCGAUAAGUAAUGUGAAUUGCAGAAUUCAGUGAAUCAUCGAAUCUUUGAACGCACAUUGCGCCCGCCAGCACUCUGGCGGGCAUGCCUGUUCGAGCGUCAUUUCAACCAUCAAGCCCCCAGGGGCUUGUGCUGGGGCCCUGCGGCUGCCCGCGGGCCCUGAAAACCAGUGGCGGGCUCGCUAGUCACACCGAGCGCAGUAGCACAUCUCGCUCAGGGCGUGCGGCGGGCUCCUGCCGUGAAACCCCCCACUGUAACCCCAAAGGUUGACCUCGGAUCAGGUAGGAAUACCCGCUGAACUUAAGCAUAUCAAUAAGCGGAGGA
rnacentral:misc_RNA from 1 species